CAGGAGAAACCUCCCUCAUAAUGCUCACUGCUUGACCAGGAGUAACCCGUCUCUCCAUCCCAUCCCGUCAGCAUCAAGAGUGCAACCGAAACAUCAAUGAGCGGUGAUGUUAUCCCCUUGGCAACGAGAUGCUAUCCCUGCAUCCUGAGUGAUAUGAGGAGAGCAGCCUGAUGGCUCAGGGGGAAGAUGAUAAGGAGCUACUUCAUGCUAUCUAUAAGCUCACAGAGUUGACCAUCGGAACAUCUCAUUUGAAAGACUGCAUCAACUGGGUGCACCUGAGCUCAUCAUUGUUUGGUGUGAUGUUAUCACCAUAGCAACAAGAUGCUGUCUGUACAUUCAGGAGGACAGGAGGAUGGUUUAAGGAGGAUAGGAGCAAGAGAACUCGCCGCUGCCGCCACCGCCGAGAUGCGUGAAAUUCUAGAAAGAUGAAACUUGGGGCAGAUGCUUCUUCUUGUCACAUCAUCACGCACCAUACCAAGCUGGAGGGGAAACUUCUCGCCUCUCUCGCUCUCCUUGGGAUCUCUGCCUUUACCCCCUCCUCCUCCCCGCUCCCCAUCUUCAAGAUUCCCCAAGAGGACCGGUGGAGAUGAGGGAUGCGGUGUUACGAUGAUGGAGUUACAGCAUCCGGUAAACUCCUUCUGAUUAGUCACCCAACGGUAGGCGGCCUCCCGAGAUAGUUAAAGAUUAAUUCCCAAGCGAUGGACUUUGAUUGUUUUCUUUAAUCUUUGGGAUAGUUUAGCAGCAUUAUUGGAUUUCUGGGUCGACUCCGUAGGUAUCUGUUAUAUUCCAUUACCAUAAUGUGUUCAUUCCUGGGGGAAAAUUUGAUUUUGUGGGUAAAAUCCUUGUAAAAAAAUUGUCUGGAUUAUAUAUUUUUGAGAAAUGAAGAUACAAUUGGAUAAUCCAUCCCACCAAAAUAAAAGGGAUGAUAUUCAAUGAUAUUAUGGUACAAUAAUACAAUGUUUACUUAAAAUUAUGUUGGCUUGACUUAUUUACAUGUAGAUCAUGUAGAUAGAAGGUUGCAUGUACUUUGGAACAGUAGUUUAGUGAGCCCAAAAUUUUGAGGGGGCCAGACAAGUUGUAUGGGGCAACAUUUCGCCCAAACUGCAAGUGAGUGAAACGAGUUAGCAAUUUUAAAAAUCUUUUUUAAUACAAAAAUCACACUCUAAAAAAGAUUGAGUGAAAAAUUAUCCAAUAUUGGGUAGAAAGGGAACAAGCAUUUUUGUUGUAUAAUUUUUCCUUCAUAUUGAGCAAAAUGCAAGUUUAAAGGGUAAAAUUUACAAAGUAAUUGGUAUCAUUUUACCCAGCAAAGAUACAUGUUCCCAUUUUACCCAAUAUUGGGUAAACAUAUUUUAGAGUGCAGCAUGAUUUUGACAGAAUAUCUAGAAAAAAUAAUUUCCUUUUCUUUAUUUUUUUAUCCCUUUUUUCUUGGUUGUGACCCCCCCCCCCCCCUUCCCCAAUCUAAAUCAAGGAUCCAUGGUUUCGGCUAGCUAAAUUACCUUCGUAACAUUUUUGAUGCAAUGGGAAAGGAGUGUGAAUAAUUAUGUAUUAUGAGGAAUAUAAUUGUUUGCAGCACUGUUACUUGUAGUUUUUCAUUCAUAGCAUCACUUGAUGGAGUAUAGAUGACCAAAGCAUUCUGAAUUAUGAUCAAAAUAUGAUUUCUUGAACUCUGUUCUCAAUCAUCUUAAAUCAACUCCCACUUGAAACGUCAAAUGAAGACCAGUGGUAGAAUCUGGGGGCUUAAUGCUGAUAGAUUUAUGUAGGAAUAGACAACUUUAUUUUUAUACUUAGUGAAACAAUGCAGCAUGCAGUGAUUUACAAUGGAUAUGAUUGAAACAGUACACCAAUUCAUUUGGAAACAGUCCAGUAUUUCAUCAAAGAGGGGGCACAGAACUUUGGGAUAUUUUCUGAAUGUUUUGACAAGCCCAAAAAUAUUUUAUUAAAAAAAGAGAGUUUUGCUCCCUCCCCCUCGCAUUUUCAAUGAAUUACCCAGAAGGACUAUAACAUUGGUAUAUGAUUUUAGACAGAGACUGCAAAAAAAUUGUAACCAUUUAUAAUUUUCUGAAUUAUUUCAUUGUCAUUGUGAUCAAGAUAUUCUUGAUGUCUGCGAAUUAGGGGUUUAUAUUUAUUAUGUUGAUGAAUUAUCAGCAGCAUUUUCUAAAAUAAGUCUCAAAUGGUGAUGUUUAUUUGAAACUCUCAUUAAUAAUAUAUUGUUAUUGUUACUAUUUCUUGUGCGAUAUGUACCUCCAGAAUUAAAAUCCAGACAUACAAUUACCAAGCUUCAAA